rnacentral:lncRNA from 1 species
AUUGGCUCCUCACGAAUGCUAGUUCGUUGCAGAACCCUUUCGAUGGCUGAUGCUGAUCGAACUCUUUCGAUCGGUGUCUGUCAAUUCUUUGAAUACUCUGGAUCAUCAACAGAGAUUGUAGAGUGGUUGAUGAAGCUCUCCCUAAAGUUUGGUGGGCUCACGACACUCAUAGCUCACCUUCUCACUUCCCGAACCCUAGGCAGAAACCCUAGGG